rnacentral:rRNA from 1 species
CGGAGGAAAAGAAACCAACCGGGAUUGCCUCAGUAACGGCGAGUGAAGCGGCAAGAGCUCAAAUUUGAAAGCUGGCUCCUUCGGAGUCCGCAUUGUAAUUUGCAGAGGAUGCUUUGGGUGCGGCCCCCGUCUAAGUGCCCUGGAACGGGCCGUCAGAGAGGGUGAGAAUCCCGUCUUGGGCGGGGUGUCCGUGCCCGUGUAAAGCUCCUUCGACGAGUCGAGUUGUUUGGGAAUGCAGCUCUAAAUGGGUGGUAAAUUUCAUCUAAAGCUAAAUACUGGCCGGAGACCGAUAGCGCACAAGUAGAGUGAUCGAAAGAUGAAAAGCACUUUGAAAAGAGAGUUAAACAGCACGUGAAAUUGUUGAAAGGGAAGCGCUUGCGACCAGACUCGCCCGCGGGGUUCAGCCGGCAUUCGUGCCGGUGUACUUCCCCGUGGGCGGGCCAGCGUCGGUUUGGGCGGCCGGUCAAAGGCCCCUGGAAUGUAGUGCCCUCCGGGGCACCUUAUAGCCAGGGGUGCAAUGCGGCCAGCCUGGACCGAGGAACGCGCUUCGGCAC